CUCGGUGGAGAAUUUCAUCAUCCUCUUCCCUCUUCUCCACUGUCUCUCUCUCACAAACCUUCACGGUUCGCAGGAUCCGGUGUUAGACCCACGCCGCCGGAGCAGAGGGCCGCGUCGCCGGAGUAGGAGACGAACGAUCCCCUUCAGGUGAUCAAAGAUUUGUCACUCGGACGUAAGAAAUUGGAAAGCAAAUUGCUAUGAAUAAGACUACUAGGAGAAGGGAGCUUGGUGUUAUUCAGGGUUGGGGUAACUGAAAAUGUUAUGUAAUAAUUAAACUUUAGAAGUUCUGUACUGUUCCA